GGCAGAAGAAUCGCUUGAACCCCGGGAGGCGGAGGUUACAAUCUGUUUCUUAGAAGUGGACACGUGAACUCUUACACAGAUCAAGAGGAGCAGCUCUGUAAAUAUUUCCCUGAGUUUUUUCAGCCUGCGCCCAGAAAUGAACAAGGACAGCUUGGAGGUUAGAGGCAAGAUGGAGUCGUUUAAGUUGGACCUCUUUCACUGUCUCAGUCAUAAUUUUGCAAAGGCGGUUUCAGUUGCAGACAAAAGGAUCCGCAGGCUCCAGUGACUGUCUGCAUGGCGGGAGAAAACACAAGAAACUGGUUGGAGUAAAAAGAUUCCCCUUUUCAAGAUCGCCAAAAGUGGAACUGAUCGCUUUCGAAGGGACUCCUUCAGGAAGAAGGAGAAAAAUUCGAGAAACUUACCUGUUUCUCUCCCUGGAAUGCCUUCUGAACCCUGAGAUUUACUUUCCUCAAUAAAGAAGCUCGCCUCGCCCACCCAGCCCACUCUUCCUAGGAGCAGCGAGGAUCGCUGUCCCUCCAGCACAUACUAGUCAACUCGAGUCAUCUGAAUAUGGGCAUAUUGGGCACAUAUUUCUUUGUAAUGGUUCCUCUCCUAUUACAAUAUGUAUCUGUUGUUUCAUCGUUAGAUUGAAAGCUCUUUAAGAAUUAUGGUAACAGUGUUACAGCUCUUUCAGAAUUUGUUUAGCAGGU
rnacentral:lncRNA from 1 species